UACAGAGGGGGCAAGCGUUGUUCGGAAUUACUGGGCGUAAAGGGCGCGUAGGCGGCCUUCUAAGUCGAACGUGAAAUCCCCGGGCUCAACCCGGGAACUGCGUCCGAGACUGGAAGGCUCGAAUCCGGGAGAGGGAUGUGGAAUUCCAGGUGUAGCGGUGAAAUGCGUAGAUAUCGGGAGGAACACCAGUGGCGAAGGGCGAACUACCUGGCCUGUUCUUGACGCUGAGGCGCGAAAGCUAGGGGAGCAAGCGGGGAUUAAGAAACCCUGAGUAUCCGAGACCAAACGUC
rnacentral:rRNA from 1 species